AAAAAAAAAAAAAAAAAAAAAAAAAAAAAGUUCAGUUAAAGAAAAAAUACUUCUUUUUUUUUUUUUUUUUCCUCUUUAGAGAUAUGUAGUACAUUGUGCUUUUUGUUUGGGUUGAAAUGCUAACCUAGCAAACAGGAAAAAAGAGGAUAGACCAGGUCAUUCCAGAGGAUUGGAGUUGUGCAGAUUAUGUUUAUGCAGUGUUUAAGUGUUGGCCAUUAUGUUCUCAGGUCUUUCUUGUAUGUUGAUUUAGACUGAUUCUGAACUGUAGAAGAUACAAUUUAAAUAUAAAAUGUAAAGUCCAUACUAAGUCUUUGGGAUUUCCUUCUUUCUACUUACUCAAGCACAAGAGAAUUAGAAAUAAAUAUAGAAAAUAAUAUUUUUGUUUAUUUAUAAUGCAUACUAUCUAGACAACUGAUUGUAUAAAAGGACUGUUUUCUUGCAUUUUUUUUUCCCAGUAGGUGCUAGCUGUUAAAUAGGGAAACCAAGACAGCGCAUGUGUCAUCCAUGAAGUUGAUAUAGUGAUGUCUGUAACUGUUGGUAGACUGUAAGUAGGAAACAGACUUUGUAUUCACUGCAGGGCUAAAUAUUAAUGUUGACAACUAAUUACAUACACAUACAGGGGAUGUAGUCUUGCAAUACAAAAAUAAAAAAGCAGAAUUGUGUCUCUUUCUGUAGACUCUUGUCUUUUAAAAUAUGCCAAAAAUGUCUGUGACCCCAAUAGUCAGGGGGGAGAAGUCUGCCAUUAUUCAGGUGAGGGAUGCAAGAAUGUUACUGGAGCUCUCAGACCAAAUUCAAGAGGGAUUUAAGGCACACCGACCCUGUGUUGGGUCUCUGCAGAAGUGUGAGUAACAUCUCUUCAAAACUGUAGGUUUAAAUCUUGAUCCCAAUAAAAUAGAUAGAAAAAUUUUGUUGAUUUCAUGAAAUUAGGAUUUCAACUUUCAAGUUCUCUCAUGUGCCCAUCAAAGUGAAUGAGAAAUGCCAUCGAUUAGGGUGAGAUCAAGAAUGAAUCACUAAGCUUCUGCAGUAACUAAUGGUAAGAUGUAAGAUGUGUUUUAGGACCUUUUAAGGUCUUUUUCACAUCAACUUCAAAGACAUGAUGGUAAAUGUCUUAUAAAUAACCAUGGUAAUGUUGAAUGAGAAUGGUUUUCUGUCCUCAGAAAGGGAAGUCUAGAGAAGAUAGAAUUUCUAAGCAGACUGUAUUUUAGGGUUUGGUGGUGGUGAUUUUUUUUUUCCCUUUUUAAGUGAGGAAUCAAGUGUUUACUAAAAACUAACUGGAAGAAAAUUGCCAGCAUUUGUGAAUUUGUUCCUUUCAUGAUUCAAGAGGUAAACGUGCUUUCUUCUUUCUCUUCCUUUCUCUAAUGAAGUACUUCUUAAUAAACUACUAAUUAAAAUCUUCUGCGCCCAUAUUUGAUGUCAACUAACUCUUACUCAAUCUCUCUGUCACAAGUCCAUCUUGUGAACAUAUUGGCCAAAAGAAUCUGAAGCGUGUCUUCCCAGAACUGAUGCACAUGCAUGUGUGGCACGUCAGACAGGCUCCCUUCUCCAUAUGAAGUGGUAACUUCCUGGCUGGGGAUUGCAGUACGUAUGGGGGAUGGGGGGUGAGGCCAGAUCCCUCCCAGCUGCAGCUCAUUUAAAAAGCAUUGCUAUAGGUUGUUUUCAAGCAGUUCUCUUGUACAGAAAGGUAGAAAGGAGGUGGAAUUCAUUUCAUUUUAACUAUGAAUCUCUGUUUUCCUGAUGUGUUAUUCCUACCAGAGAACUGAUUUAAUGUAACUUUCAGUAUUUUCAUUGGCUGCAGCAAAUAAACAAAAUUAUGUAUUUAUUUCUUUCUGCAUGAUGCAAGACAAAUUUAGGCUUUGAUUUUCAGGGUAGAUAAAAUUGUUUUAAACUAAGUUGGAAUGUGUAUUAAUACCAAGUGAUUACUAUGCAAACUCAAUCUUCCCUUUUCCUGUUCAAUUCCAGCCUUUGUAGCUCAGCAAACUAGCAUAAAUAUUUUCAGUAUUUCACAAAAUAGUGAGAGAUUUGAUAACGACACAUGGUCCUUGCGCAAUGUGUAAGCCUACUACAGCCAUUUCUGCCUUAUUUAUCUAGUUUUGUACUUUGUUUUAGAGAGGUAGGAAGGGGAUUGAGUAUCUGCUUUACAUUGCAAAGUGGAAGAAACAGUCCUCAUACAAAUAACCAAAUUACCAGCAUAGACUACAAUCAAAAAAAUAUGCACAACAAAAAUAAAAAAUAAAAACAAUAUGGUUGCUCCAACUGGACAAACUUUUAAACUCAGUUGAUACAAGAAAUCCUGGAAUUGUGACCAUAAGCAGCCUACUUUUUAAGCUCUCCAGAAGAAUUUGUUGUCUAAGUUCUCUGAAUUGAGUAAAAUGUAUGCUUUUGUAAUAUAUAUAUAUAUUAAUAAAAGUUUGGACACCAAAUACACCUGUAACCAGGAUUUUUCUCAAAAAUGUCCUAUUCAGACUUUGUGCCUUUCUCCAUGCUCAUACACCGCUAUGCCUCUCCCUCUUGUAGGUUCCUGCCCUUGUCUCUUCCCACCAUUGUCAAUGGCCCAGCUGCCUUUGCCCGUAUUACUGGGUGGGUUUGAUGCCCAGGGGCUCAUUUCCUCUCUCGAAUAUGUUGUAGCUGUUAGCCUAAAGUAGGGAGACAGUGUCCC
rnacentral:lncRNA from 1 species